AGCCCACUCCGGCCGUGUGUGAAGAAAGUCUUUGAGGUUUGUAAAAGCACCUUCGUGGGAGGAGAAAGGCAUUUGCUUUAAUAGCACUUGUCAUAGCUUACUCGCAGAAAGAAGCCCCGUCUAACUCGUCCAGCAGCCCGGGUUAUACGAGAGGGUCAAGCUUUAUGGGAAUUCUUUGGGCUAAACGCGCACACAGUGGGUUGGUUAAUUCAGAUGAGAAAUCCCCGGCUCUAACGGGAACCUGCUUAGAAAUGACCAAGCUAGAGUCGUGUAGGGGGGGGGUAGAAUUCCUGGUGUAGCGGGGAAAUGCGUAGAGAUGGGGAGGACUCCAGGUGGGGAAGGCGCCACCUUGGACAAUGACUGCCGCUCAGUUGGAAACCGUGGGGACCAACCAGGUUUAGUUACCUUGUUAUUCCAGCCUGUAAAGGAGUUCGAUAGCGAUGGUGUGCCUUGGAGGCGUGGCUUCGGGAGCUAACGCUUUAGAUCGCCGCCUUGGGGAUACCGCCGCCAAGUUUAAACUCCAAAUGAAUGGACGGGGGCCCGCCCAACCGGUGGGCCAUGUGGUUUAUUUGAAGCCAACGGGAAGACCCUUACCUACUUUUGACAUCCAGAGAACUUUCCAGAGAAGGAUGGGUCCUUUCGGAACCUUUGAACAAGGCCUUCAAUGGCUUUCUAAAAUUCGUUUUGGGAAAUGUUGGGUUAAUUCCCUCACGGAGCCCAACCUUUUUCUUUGUUACCCACAGAUUAGGUCGGGCACUCAAAGGAGACUGCCGGUGAUAAACCGGAGGAAGGUGGGGAUGACGUCAAGUCAUCAUGGCCCUUACGAGUAGGGCUACACACGUGCUACAAUGGCGUAUACAAAGAGAAGCCAACUCGCGAGAGCAAGCUAACCUCAUAAAGUACGUCGUAGUCCGGAUCGCAGUCUGCAACUCGACUCCAUGAAGUCGGAAUCGCUAGUAAUCGUAGAUCAGAAUGUUACGGUGAAUACGUUCCCGGGCCUUGUACACACCGCCCGUCACACCAUG
rnacentral:rRNA from 1 species